rnacentral:rRNA from 1 species
GGACUACACGGGUUUCUAAUCCCGUUUGCUCCCCUGGCUUUCGUGCCUCAGCGUCAGGAAAUGUCCAGAGACUCGCCUUCGCCACUGGUGUUCCACUUGAUAUCUACGCAUUUCACUGCUACACCAAGUAUUCCAGUCUCCCCUCCAUUCCUCGAGCCGGAUAGUAUCCACUGCAGUUUCCGAGUUAAGCUCGGAGAUUUCACAACAGACUUACCCGACCGCCUACGCACCCUUUACGCCCAGUGAAUCCGAACAACGCUUGGGACCUCUGUAUUACCGCGGCGGCUGGCAC